GACAGCAGUAGCCGCGGUAAUACGUAGGGUGCAAGCGUUAAUCGGAAUUACUGGGCGUAAAGCGUGCGCAGGCGGUUAUAUAAGACAGAUGUGAAAUCCCCGGGCUCAACCUGGGAACUGCAUUUGUGACUGUAUAGCUAGAGUACGGCAGAGGGGGAUGGAAUUCCGCGUGUAGCAGUGAAAUGCGUAGAUAUGCGGAGGAACACCGAUGGCGAAGGCAAUCCCCUGGGCCUGUACUGACGCUCAUGCACGAAAGCGUGGGGAGCAAACAGGAUUAGAUACCCCAGUAGUCCCUGUCUCUUAUAC
rnacentral:rRNA from 1 species